rnacentral:lncRNA from 1 species
CAAACUUCAUCCUCCACCCUUAUCUCCCGUCCUUUUCAAGGCACUGGCGACAGGCCACUGCAUUUCCUUCCUCGUCUGCAGCCUCUCUUCCCCCUCAAAUACUUCACGUCAGCCCCCUCAUCUUCAUCCUCUCUUCCUCUAAAAAACGUGUUAAUUAAAAUGUAGUUUCCUCUGCCCACAUAUGAAGUGUGGCAAACGAAUCGCAUUCUUGGCACACACUGCAAUUCAUUUAUCCUCCUUUUCUCUCUCCACUGGACUAAAGCUAUAGAAAUUUUAGUCUGCCACUAUCUCCCAUUUUUCUUAAAAAAAAAAUUAUCCUGACCAUGCCUUAUUAUUUUUAAAUACUCCUCAACAUUCGUGGGGAAGUCUUGCUAAGGCUUAAGGAAAAAAAGAUAUUUAGGAAACGCUCAGCCCGUCAUUUUAUUUGCCAUUUUAAAAUAUCUGCAGUGUUUGAGAGAGAGAUUGGGAGUGGCUGUGUUUUCUUCAUUUAAAAAGAAAAAAAUGCUUUGCAUGCAUCAAGGCUAGCCUUUUUAUGCAUACCCCCCCCAAAAAAAGUACUGUAGGAGCAUGUAUCAUUUAAUAGCCUGUACUGCACAGGACGUGUGCCAGACAGAACUGUAGACCCCAGCCCACCUCCAAAGGACGACAGAUUCACAUAACGUUUUCAGCAUGGCUGAUGAAGAGCGCAUUCCACGACCAUUCCCUUUCCCACGGUUCCUAAACAAAACGGAUGUGGGAAACAAGGAAAUCCAGAGAAGCAAAAUCGGGACAAUUUAGGAAGAGAGCUGGUGUUAAAGCUGAGGGCCCAUUCUCCACACAGAAGCAAGAUCCAUAACCCUGCCCUUAAUCUAGCCAAAAUGUCCGGAAGCACUACACAUACACUCCUGAGUCUUCCUUGACUGACAGCCUAAGUUGCCCGCUUCCAGUACUUUCUAUGAGUCUACUCACUUCCCAAGGUAACAGUACUGGUUGACUUCCUGCUAUGUGCUAGCUACCUUUCUGUUGCUAGGGACAGAGCAGUGAACAAAAUGAAGAUCUCUUGACUUGUAACUUUUGUUUCUUGUAUGGAGAAAGCACAGAUGUUAGAAUUGGAAGUCAGAGGGGAGAAAUGUUGCAGAUAAAGAUGCUAUGGAAAGGAAACUCACUUCUGGAUAGUGGUGGGGUGGGGCCGGUGCUACCUUUGUUAGGGUGAGACGGGACCCAAAUGUUCUGUAGUCAGGCAGCUGGAUGAACAGGUAAGUUCAAAGUCCAUAAAACUGGAUCAGCCUGGUGUGCUUGAGAGGCAGGGGAGGGAGGGCCGGAAAGUUGAG